rnacentral:lncRNA from 1 species
AUACAUACAUCUGCAUGGCAUUUAGUAGACAGAAAAUAAUCAACUUCAUCUUCUACGUUCCUAAACCUCUUACUGAGAGAACCACACUAAAUUCGCCAGAAGUUAAAUUUUUCGGUGUCGGAAUUUUAACUUGAUCGUUGAAUCCUAGUAAAGCAGAUGUCCGUAGAACUACAAGCACAGAGCAGGGACGAAAUUUCUGUUUCAAGAACAUUGCGGUACGCAAGCCUCAAUCUUCAAGUUGUUUGUUUUUAUAAUUCGUAUUUUAGUUUAUAUUCUGUUAAUUCCUAUUGCAUUUAUUAUUUAUUAGCAUAUAUAAAUUAUCAUAUUGUUGACAUACAUCUAACACAAACGACUACUCCGAGAACAGAACCCCAUGUCGACUAAUUUCGAUUGAGGGUUACGAAACUCUGACGAAAGCCACCUGCAAUGGUACAAAAUGGGUAUGCACAAUCAACAAUUCAAAACAAAGCGGCAGAGCCGCAACCAUUGAAACUCAGGCCGGAGAUUCCAAAUCUGAAAUCCUCAAGCGCGGGGGGGGGGGGGGGGGGUGCUACAAGUGGUGCAACAUCCAGAUUAGCAUGCCUAAGGCUAUGCAACACUAACUUAUGCUCGGCGCUGCGACAUAUUUGGGCGCAGAGGCGCUGCGACAUAUUUGGGCACAGAAGGCGGCGUGACAAAUUUGGGCGCAGAAGGUGCGGCAACCACAGAAAACGUCGAUGAAAGUAUCACAACACCGAAUCAGAUAAACGGAAGUGGUUCUAACCUACCAACAGUCCCAAUCCAAACCCUAAACCCAAAUCAAGAAGGAGACAUUGAGAAGGGCAUAAUCCGGAUCUAGGUAAGAGACACGAAGCCCUGGGACUACACAACACAAAAUGUUUGGAGGGAAAAAACAGGGAGGGAGAAAUGAAAUCGUGUUGAAACUGAGAUGGGGAAAGGGGAUGGCGAAGCGGAUGGGAGGAGAAGGAAAGCUGGUUGCAGAAAGGAAGGAAGGGAAAGCUAGGGGGAGAUAGGAUGGGCUGCCACUGGCCCCAAGCCAUGGCAAGGGCCCCGCGGCUAUGGGGACUGCAACUAAGGGUUUUCUCGGGAGGGAAAAAGGUUAGAGGAAAAGGCCGGACUUUCUCGGCUGCAAUAAUAUUGUUCGGUUUUGCUUUAUCUUUAUAUUUUUUAACUUAUGUUGCUGAACAAUUUGUCUUUCGGUCUUUAUUAUAUAAUGAUAUUUUAACGGGGAAUCUUUUGAGAUUCAUUUUUAUUUGUAAAUAAGAGGGGUAUUAGGUUCGAUUUUCAUCAAAAGAGAAUUUGAAUUACAUUAUUGUCAACUCAUUGUGAGACUAAUCUCAUCCCCUCAUCUAUAGUGUAAAAAAAAAAAAAAAAAAAACAAAGGGUGAAAAAGGAAUUUGGGUUAUAAAUCCACAAUAGCAAUAAUAAUUUCGUACGUAUACAACUUAUCAUAUAUCAAAGUUGAAUCUAAAAUAUUGAAAGGAUAUACUACUACAUAACAAAUCUUAAGAUUUAUGAGUGGUAUCAACUGGUCUUAUUGUGCCAAUUUGAUCGCAAUUGCAUGCUCAAGUUUCGCAACUAUCCGACGUUGAUAUAUGAGAGAAAAUGACGACUAGGGGAUAUUACCUAAUUUUAGUUGUUCGAAUUUUAUUAAUUUCAAAUUAAAAAGGGUUAAGGGAAAACUUAAAGUGGAGUACAAAUUCAACGGAAAUUUAGGCGCAUAACUAGUUUAUUGGUAUUUUACUUCAUUUAUAAGGGAACCGGAUCCUCUCCGAGGCAAACCUUCGGGAUUCUGCUUAGCGACAAACACGGGCCGUUGGAUUUUGAUUCAACGGCUACAAUUAUUAUAACUUUAAGAAUGAUCCCUUGUUUGUAGUCGUUGGAUCGAAAUCCAAUGGUUUGUGUUUGGCACUCAACAUGAUCCUGAGGGUUUGCCUCGGAGAGGAUCUAGUUCCAUUUAUAAGUGAGAGAGUGAGUUCGAUACACAUGUUUGGUGAGUAUGUAGAAUAUUAUUGAGUUAUAUGUCUAAUUAUGGUUACAUUGUUUGACUUAGCCCAUUGUCCACUCCUCUAAAGAGCAAAUGAUUGGCCAUAAAUAAAAAGAAGACCUGGUAUUAGGGGUGCAACUCGGAUAGGUUGGAAGAUUAACCCAAUCCUAACCCAACUUUUACAAUUCGGGCUCGGAUUCGGGUUGAGUUUCAUUCGAGUUCAUUUGGGCUCGGGUUUACUUGAGUCAGGUUCGGGUUGCCCAACUUUUUCAAGUUUAAUCUUGUAACAACUUAGUUUCCAAGAAUUCCUAAAAAAAAUUAAGUCAAGUAGCAUCAAAGCUAGCUAACUUUAAUUUCAUAAAUCAAUUUUCUAUAAAGCUUUAGGAUUUAGAGACUACGAAUAUGCUAACUAAUCAAAGCCUCUUAUUCCGUAAAAGCUUAAGUAAUUAUAAAGGGUAAUUUAUUAAAAAAAAAAUUAGAAAGGGCAUUGGUUUUAGGACUUGUCUCACUUGGGUGUAGUAUGAACAUUAAUUGAUAUGGGUUAUAAUCUGGUUAGAUUGGGUUUGAUUAGUUGGGUUGGGAAUUGACGGGCAAAUGAUUAGCCCAACUCAACCUAAUCAAUGAACAGGUUGAAAUUGGGUUGGGUUCGGACGAGUUAUAAUUAAAAAAAACCCCACUUGUUUGGGUUUAAAGUGGGGUUGGACAUGGGUGGGUUCGAAUUGGCCCAACCCAAAUUGCACCCUCACCUGGUAUGAGCCUUCCCAUUUUAUUUACACAAAAGUCGCACUACUUUGACCUACCAACUUUGAAGCCCAAACCAAGGCUAAGACGACCAUCUCACUUCUCUCUUACUUGUUUGAGGCUUCGGACAUAAGUCUCUCUGAAGUGUGAUUGCCACACAUACGACCAGGGCCUGGUAUAUUGUGCCCCCUUAAAUGUAUACACAUGUGUCAUCCAACACGCUGAGGUCAUUAUUGAGGUCGUGCUAACCGCCUCAAGACGCAGUUAAAUGCCACCUACCAGGAAUUACAGUCACUGUCAACACCUAAUGAAUGAUCUACCAUGCUUCAGCUCAGCGACAUGAUCGAGGCUGCUCCUUCUCCCUAGCCUAUAAAUUAAAUAGAGGCCUUCAAGCUCAAGAUCUUCGUUAAAUUCAAUCUCUACGAUUAAACAAAACCUUGAGUGAUUCUUCAAUCAACCCAACUAUUUUUUCAGCGCAAACCCAAUUGAUCUUUAGCAAAACUUUCUUAGCUCUUCAGCUACAAUCUCAAAGUCUUCCUUCAAAGAAAACACCACCUAUGAUUCCUGAUAUUUAAAACUUUUACAACUCUGCCACCCUAUGGUAUGAUUCAAUUGAUCUGUAAUUCAUACCACCCUGACUUCCUAUCUGAGAUGCAUGUUUUGUACUAAGUCAUAUCAUACACUAGUGAUCUUGGUGAAUUUCUCUAGCCUUAUCUUACUCUUAUGGGCAUGAUCUUGCUAGAGUUUUACUGCUUUCCUUGUACUUUCAGUUAAUUUAUAUUUUAAGUUAUGUAGUUCGACCCAUCUGCUUAAAUUUUACUUUUGUGAACGUUUGUUAUGAAUUUCUCGUUCUAGUUUCUAUUUCGCUUUCAUUUACUUUUUAAGCAAGCAUACACAAAGUUACACUAAAUUUUAAGUCCUCGUUCGCUUGAGACACAUAAAGAAUUUAACUAAACCAACAUCCCAUUCAGUGCUUAAUCAUUUAGUUAAGAAGUUAGAUUAACGCACAACUUACACACACACACACUCAAACAAAAUAUUGUUUGUUGGCAGCUCCAAUAAUGGCAUGUAUAUUCUCUCAUUCUCUCUAGCUAUCCCGCAGCAUUGAGACAAAAAGCAACACAGCAAAAACGUGUUGAACCUCCUGCUUCAUC